rnacentral:rRNA from 1 species
GCGAACUUUGGCCCGUGGAGCUGGUAAGAAGAGAGGGGGUGAGCGCGUGUCGGGAUGACUGGGCUUAAAGCGCACGUAGGAGGCCAUUUAAGUCAGUGGUGAAAUCCCGGGGGUCAACCUCGGAACUGCCUUUGAUACUGGGUGUCUAGAGGAUGGAAGAGGUAAGGGGAAUUGCGAGUGUAGAGGUGAAAUUCGUAGAUAUUCGCAGGAACACCAGUGGCGAAGGCGGCUUACUGGUCCAUUACUGACGCUGAGGUGCGAAAGCGUGGGGAGCAAACAGGAUUAGAUACCCUAGUAGUC